rnacentral:rRNA from 1 species
AUUGAACGCUGGCGGCAUGCCUUACACAUGCCAGUCGAACGGCAGCACGGGUGCUUGCACCUGGUGGCGAGUGGCGAACGGGUGAGUAAUACAUCGGAACAUGUCCUGUAGUGGGGGAUAGCCCGGCGAAAGCCGGAUUAAUACCGCAUACGAUCCACGGAUGAAAGCGGGGGACCUUCGGGCCUCGCGCUAUAGGGUUGGCCGAUGGCUGAUUAGCUAGUUGUGGGGUAAAGGCCUACCAAGGCGACGAUCAGUAGCUGGUCUGAGAGGACGACCAGCCACACUGGGACUGAGACACGGCCCAGACUCCUACGGGAGGCAGCAGUGGGGAAUUUUGGACAAUGGGCGAAAGCCUGAUCCAGCAAUGCCGCGUGUGUGAAGAAGGCCUUCGGGUUGUAAAGCACUUUUGUCCGGAAAGAAAUCCUUGACUCUAAUACAGUCGGGGGAUGACGGUACCGGAAGAAUAAGCACCGGCUAACUACGUG